GGUGUUUUCGGGGUGUUUUGCUGCCUAGGGUGAGUAUGGACGAAUUUUCUGCGUGAAUGAUGAAUAUGGGAGGUUCAACCCUUUGCCAAGGGUUGUAAACAUGUAUAUAUAUAGGCCCCAAAAACCCUAGAGAAUCAAAUUAGGCAGUUGGGAAAUGCACAGCAAGGAGGGUGAAUUUGUGGUGUGCAAUGGUCCAAGGAUGAAAAUGAAGCAAUGAUGCAAAGUAUGGAGGGUAAAAUGGAGUGGUAUUUCAGCUAGGGAGCAUGAAUGAUUGUGUUCAUUGCAUGGAAAUGAAAAGGGGAGGUGAAAUGUUUAAGAAAUUAGUUAAAGGUGCAGCAACAUGUGUUGCACAAGGCAUUGGAUCCCAAAUG
rnacentral:lncRNA from 1 species